rnacentral:rRNA from 1 species
GACGAACGCUGGCGGCGUGCUUAACACAUGCAAGUCGAACGGAAAGGCCCUGCUUUUGUGGGGUGCUCGAGUGGCGAACGGGUGAGUAACACGUGAGUAACCUGCCCUUGACUGUGGGAUAACUUCAGGAAACUGGGGCUAAUACCGGAUAGGAGCUCCUGCUGCAUGGUGGGGGUUGGAAAGUUUCGGCGGUUGGAGAUGGACUCGCGGCUUAUCAGCGUGUUGGUGGGGGAGUGGCUUACCAAGGCUUUGACGGGUAGCCGGCCUGAGAGGGUGACCGGCCACAUUGGGACUGAGAGACGGCCCAGACUGCUACGGGAGGCAGCAGUGGGGAAUAUUGCACAAUGGGCGGAAGCCUGAUGCAGCAACGCCGCGUGCGGGAUGACGGCCUUCGGGUUGUAAACCGCUUUCGCCUGUGACGAAGCGUGAGUGACGGUAAUGGGUAAAGAAGCACCGGCUAACUACGUG